UCAUGGUGAGACAGAGAGCUCUUCCUUGGUGAUGUCUCUGUCAGCACUCGGUCUCAUGUGAGAGCAUUUUGGCUGAAGUUCAUUUUCACAGUGAAGCCUUCUUGACCUUUUAAACUUUGUGCUGUUAGGUUCACAGUCUUUAAGGUGGUGUUGUCCUCUUUAUGAUUCGACUGUAGAUGGUAGGGGUGGUCUGACUCGCUGCGUCCUCAGCGUUGGGAAGAUGCUGACGUCAGUGGAGGUGGGCUUGGGCCUGUGAUGCAUCAGGUUGGCACGCCUCUCUGUGGAACGCCUCCUGUAUCACUGCUCGUUUGUGGCCCUCCCUUUCUUCCUCACAGUCAGAUUCUGCUGUGUCCAUUUUGAAGCUGCUCUCUCGCCUUCUUCAUGAAACUUCAGAGCUGCCAUCUUGUCCAUUGUAGCUCUGUCUCGCUGUCGUCAUGUCUCAUGGUUUGUUGUGCUCUGCAGGUAUCUCGGUCUGUAGGCAGAUCUUUUGUCUUUCUGAGAUCUGUGCUCUGACGAACUUUUCACUUUGUUUGGGAGUUGUUAUUCUUUCUAUUCAUAUCUAGCUCUCGUCUCCUCCCUAUCUAUUAUAGCCUCUCUUUUUCCAUCUCUCCUUUAUAUCUGAACUCAACCCUUUAAAGACCCUAAUUCUUUUUUCUUCUUCUUCUGCCUGUACUGGCCCUUGACUGCACUUACUUAUAUCUUUCUUCCACUUGCUGUAUACGUUUCUUCAUCUGGGGGUAUAUCUAUUUAGACCUUAUCUAACAGGAUGGGCUCUUUCAUUAUUCUGUCUCAGUGACUACUUUUCCUUCACUAAAGGCUAUAUAGUAUGUCAAUAUUAUCUAACUGUUGGUCAAACUGUUUCUCCCUAUUUUCCCUUCAUUCUGAGCUUUCUCUAUCUCUUAUCUGACGUCUUUUAUCUUUAACUACUUAGUUGUGCUUUUUCCACAUAUGUUGCUGCCACAGCUCCCUCCUUUGACCACCUUUGCAGCUAAUAUUUCUUUUUUUCUGCUCUUUACCCUUUAAUUUCACCUGCUGUGUGCCUCCCAGGACAGCCAUCGCACACUCACUGCGAGCAAACACUUACUCUCUGGAAACUUUGGAAUUUGGACGGCCUUCAUGCCUCGAAAAGGAAAAAAAAGACAGUUAAUUGUAAAGCCACACAACCAAGAAACUAGAAUGAAACAAUUCAUUGAAAGAAACUCAGGCAGCUCCCCUUGUUUUUAUAUCAAGGAGCUAUUCAACUGAAAAAUCAUCAAAGUAGAGUUUAUUAAAAAUAACUAACAUCAGUGAAACUAACAACUAUUAAAAUAUCAAAUUGAUUUUCUCACAUCUAAUACAAAAUUGAUGGCUCUCAAUCCCUUCUCUAACUUAAAUCCUUCAUAGAUAACACCUCACAUUGCUGCUUAUCAAUCUGUACCUCUAUGUUUCAAUAAAUUUGCAAACUUUAUCAGAUGUCAUCAUUUUUCUAGUUUUGUUCCUUCUCCUCGACCAAAAAGUGUCUUCAGCUACACUUUUCUUUUCUGUAUCCAGCAGUCAUUGCCGUUCUUUUACUAAUCUGCUUACUGUCAAGCUGUUAUUGGUUGUAACUUCUGUUAUUAUUAACUCAUGAGUAACUUGCUAUAACGUGCUGUUGUUAUACUAUAAAGGUGCAACAGAUCACAAAACUCUCAUAUAACUUUUGGUUUAGGGCUGAACUCUUUUUCUCUCUCUCAGCCUGCUGUCCUCCCCCACAUGGACACUCACACAGCUGCACCUCAGCUCCUGCUCUGUGCCUCUCUGCUAGCGUGUGUGGUACCAUUCAUGAGAUGUCUGGAUUGAGCCAUUUUCUCCUGACCUUCUGCAUUUUAGGAUACCUUUUCUGCAGUUCCAACACUUGGUAUGUAAAGAUGCCAAGCAACAUCAAAGGAUUGCUGGGUUCCUGCCUUGUCAUCCCUUGUAGUUUUGGCUACUAUCAGUAUCCACCUCAAAAUCCAGAACGUGUGGUUUGGUACCAGUAUGUGAGAAGUGGAUAUCCAUUAGUAUAUGACGACUGGUAUCCGGACUAUGUCAUUUCCAUUUUUAAAGGAAAAACACGUGUAUUGACUUCCACAGACAGCAUGACAUGCAGUCUUCAAAUCUCCCCAGUGAGCUGGUCUCACCACAGACUGAAGAUUUACCCCUGGGUAGAUCCAGAGAAUGUUGGGACAAGCACCUACCGAUUCUUUGAUACAACUGUAAUAAUGUAGU